UACGAACUGUGCGAACGUUAUUCGGAAUCACUGGGCUUACAGGGUGCGUAGGCGGCUCAACAAGUCAGGUGUGAAAGCCCCCGGCUCAACCGGGGAACUGCGCUUGAAACUGUUAGGCUCGAGUCAGCUAGAGGUACACGGAACUUCCAGUGGAGCGGUGAAAUGUGUUGAUAUUGGAAGGAACACCGGAGGCGAAAGUGGUGUACUGGGGCUGGUCUGACGCUGAGGCACGAAAGCCAGGGGAGCGAACGGG
rnacentral:rRNA from 1 species